GCCUGUAAGACUGGGAUAACUCCGGGAAACCGGGGCUAAUACCGGAUAACACCUACCCCCGCAUGGGGGAAGGUUGAAAGGUGGCUUCGGCUAUCACUUACAGAUGGACCCGCGGCGCAUUAGCUAGUUGGUGAGGUAACGGCUCACCAAGGCGACGAUGCGUAGCCGACCUGAGAGGGUGAUCGGCCACACUGGGACUGAGACACGGCCCACACUCCUUAGGGAGGCAGCAGUAGGGAAUCUUCCGCAAUGGACGAAAGUCUGACGGAGCAACGCCGCGUGAGUGAAGAAGGUUUUCGGAUCGUAAAACUCUGUUGUUAGGGAAGAACAAGUGCCGUUCGAAUAGGGCGGCACCUUGACGGUACCUAACCAGAAAGCCACGGCUAACUACGUGCCAGCAGCCGCGGUAAUACGUAGGUGGCAAGCGUUGUCCGGAAUUAUUGGGCGUAAAGCGCGCGCAGGUGGUUUCUUAAGUCUGAUGUGAAAGCCCACGGCUCAACCGUGGAGGGUCAUUGGAAACUGGGGAACUUGAGUGCAGAAGAGGAAAGUGGAAUUCCAAGUGUAGCGGUGAAAUGCGUAGAUAUUUGGAGGAACACCAGUGGCGAAGGCGACUUUCUGGUCUGUAACUGACACUGAGGCGCGAAAGCGUGGGGAGCAAACAGGAUUAGAUACCCUGGUAGUCCACGCCGUAAACGAUGAG
rnacentral:rRNA from 2 species